UGGAGGCAGCAGUGGGGAAUAUUGCUCAAUGGGCGAAAGCCUGAAGCAGCAACGCCGCGUGUGCGAUGAAGGCCUUCGGGUCGUAAAGCACUUUUCUGCGAGAUGAGAAAGGACAGUAUCGUAGGAAUAAGUCUCGGCUAACUACGUGCCAGCAGCCGCGGUAAAACGUAGGAGGCAAGCGUUAUCCGGAUUCACUGGGCGUAAAGCGCGUGCAGGUGGCGCGGUAAGUUGGGUGUGAAAUCUCCCGGCUCAACUGGGAGAGGUCAUUCAAUACUACCGUGCUUGAGAGCAGAAGAGGAAGAUGGAAUUCCCGGUGUAGUGGUGAAAUGCGUAGAUAUCGGGAGGAACACCAGUGGCGAAGGCGAUCUUCUGGUCUGUUUCUGACACUCAUACGCGACAGCUAGGGUAGUAAACGGGAUUAGAUACCCCGGUAGG
rnacentral:rRNA from 1 species